rnacentral:rRNA from 1 species
GACGAACGCUGGCGGCGUGCUUAACACAUGCAAGUCGAACGAGAAUCGGUGGAUAGAGGCUUCGGCCAAUUGAAAUCGAGGACAGUGGCGGACGGGUGAGUAACGCGUGAGGAACCUGCCUUUCAGAGGGGGACAACAGUUGGAAACGACUGCUAAUACCGCAUAACGCAUAGGGGUCGCAUGAUUCUUAUGCCAAAGAUUUAUCGCUGAAAGAUGGCCUCGCGUCUGAUUAGCUAGUUGGUGAGGUAACGGCCCACCAAGGCGACGAUCAGUAGCCGGACUGAGAGGUUGAACGGCCACAUUGGGACUGAGAUACGGCCCAGACUCCUACGGGAGGCAGCAGUGGGGAAUAUUGGGCAAUGGGCGCAAGCCUGACCCAGCAACGCCGCGUGAAGGAAGAAGGCUUUCGGGUUGUAAACCUCUUUCAGCAGGGAGAAGCAAGUGACGGUACCUGCAGAAGAAGUCACGGCUAACUACGUGCCAGCAGCCGACGG